GACGACAAAGAACAGAGCACAGAACCCGGCCCAGGAGGUGGAAAAGAACUGAAGCAGUGAGAACACUGUCUGGACUGCGAUGGUAACAAACAGCACGAUUUUCCUCCCAUACCUGAAAAGGACAACAACAACAAAAAGCACAGCACACAGGAGACCACCUGCAGUUUUGUGUUUUGACCACUGGGUUGAGCAUUACCUGAAAGGCAUACAGGAUUGGUCGAGACAUUCGCUACUGCUGAAUGGAGAGUGAGCAUUGGACGUACAAUCAUUGAGUGGCCAGAAACAUGACCCCAAAGGGAUGACGACGUUGUCAAUGCUGUAUGCUGGAUGUGCAAGUAAGCAACUGUAGGCUAGUGUGUACAUGUGUGUGUGUGCGCGCGCGCGUCAUUUUCAAGAACUUUAGCCCCAAAGUAGUCAAACAUCAACUACUGCAUACCCUUGUAGGCCAAGUGUAAAUGACUAUUCCACCAAUUCAGCAUUGUUCGACUCAUGGUAGACAGUUCAUUGAUGAAAAUCGUUGAAGCAAAACCACAACAGAUCAUCUUUUCACAUACAACCGCUGCAGUAGGGAAGUUAAUCUUUUGCUCAUCACCUGUCGGAGAGCUGCCCUGAAAUGAGGGACCCAGCGAGAACGCCGCAGAAGAAGACAGAGGAGGUCAUCGGGUUCUUCCACCUGUUGUCACACACCAGGUCCCACUGAAAGACACACACACACACACACACUCAUGUGCAGUGUGUACGGCAACUACAAACAGCUUAUUAUCAAUAUCUGUGUGAGUGUGUGUGUGGGGGGGGGGGGGGGGGGGGGAGAGAAAUACAAUAAAUAAUGACAACAGUUAUUACACUUCAAAUGAAAUGUUCAACCUUUGUGGAAUUUUAAACUUUCAGUGUGACGGUGCUUGUAACAGUGUUUUAGACACAAAGUCGGCCCAAUGAUGGAAGACUGGGAUGAAGACAUUCUGAUCAUAUUCAAACAAGCAAUUAACGAAGGCGAACAAAAUAUUAGAAACACAUAGGAGUGGAAUGUAUUUCCAGUUGUUUCCAGAUGUCACUGAUGUUUUUAAUCGGGGAUGUCUGCAAUUAGAAUGUAUUUUAUGUCACUGCUUUUUUUGUGCGAAAAAUAUUCCUUCUGACAUCAAAAUGCACUAUGGCAUUCGUAGUAGAGGACAAUCACAGUGUGUGAUUGAACUCCAUAUGCAUUUCAUAUUUGACUGUGUGUGCGUGUGUGCGCGUGCGUGCGCGCGCGUGUGCGUGUGUGUGUUCUAAUAGGCAGAUUUGGCCUGCAACAAUUCUGCCUGACCCGCAGCCUGCAUCAUCAGGACCCGCGCACGGUGCACAAACCUCCGACGUGAUGG